rnacentral:rRNA from 1 species
AGAGCGAACGCUGGCGGCAGGCCUAACACAUGCAAGUCGAGCGGCCGUAGCAAUACGGCAGCGGCAGACGGGAGAGUAACACGUGGGAACGUGCCUAUCAGUUCGGAACAACCCAGGGAAACUUGGGCUAAUACCGGAUACGCCCUUACGGGGAAAGAUUUAUCGCUGAUAGAGCGGCCCGCGUCUGAUUAGCUAGUUGGUGAGGUAACGGCUCACCAAGGCGACGAUCAGUAGCUGGUCUGAGAGGAUGAUCAGCCUCACUGGGACUGAGACACGGCCCAGACUCCUACGGGAGGCAGCAGUGGGGAAUAUGGACAAUGGGCGCAAGCCUGAUCCAGCCAUGCCGCGUGGAUGAUGAAGGCCUUAGGGUUGUAAAAUCCGUUUGGCGGGAAGAUAAUGACGGUACCGCAGAAGAAGCCCGGCUAACUUCGUGCUAGCAGCCGC